AACGCUGGCGGCGUGCUUAACACAUGCAAGUCGAACGAGACGAUUGAAAGCUUGCUUUUGAAAGUCGAGUGGCAAACGGGUGAGUAACGCGUAGACAACCUGCCGUAAAGAUGGGGACAACAGUUCGAAAGGACUGCUAAUACCGAAUGUUGUAGAGUUUCCGCAUGGGAAUCCUACUAAAGGUGGCCUCUACUUGUAAGCUAUCACUUUACGAUGGGUCUGCGUCUGAUUAGCUAGUUGGUGGGGUAACGGCCUACCAUGGCGAUGAUCAGUAGGGGGCGUCAGAGCGUGGUCCCCCACACUGGCACUGAGAUACGGGCCAGACUCCUACGGGAGGCAGCAGUAGGGAAUAUUGGGCAAUGGAUGCAAGUCUGACCCAGCCAUGCCGCGUGAAGGAAGAAGGUCCUCUGGAUUGUAAACUUCUUUUAUCGGGGAAGAAGAAUCACCUUGCGAGGUGAAGUGACGGUACCCGAUGAAUAAGCCACGGCUAACUACGUG
rnacentral:rRNA from 1 species